rnacentral:rRNA from 1 species
AACGAACGCUGGCGGCAGGCUUAACACAUGCAAGUCGAACGCCCCGCAAGGGGAGUGGCAGACGGGUGAGUAACGCGUGGGAACGUACCCUUUUCUACGGAAUAGCUCUGGGAAACUGGAAUUAAUACCGUAUACGCCCUACGGGGGAAAGAUUUAUCGGGGAAGGAUUGGCCCGCGUUGGAUUAGCUAGUUGGUGGGGUAAAGGCCUACCAAGGCGACGAUCCAUAGCUGGUCUGAGAGGAUGAUCAGCCACAUUGGGACUGAGACACGGCCCAAACUCCUACGGGAGGCAGCAGUGGGGAAUAUUGGACAAUGGGCGCAAGCCUGAUCCAGCCAUGCCGCGUGAGUGAUGAAGGCCUUAGGGUUGUAAAGCUCUUUCACCGAUGAAGAUAAUGACGGUAGUCGGAGAAGAAGCCCCGGCUAACUUCGUG